AGGGAUGGAAAGGUUGACGGACCCG
rnacentral:piRNA from 1 species